rnacentral:rRNA from 1 species
UAGGGAAUCUUCCGCAAUGGGCGAAAGCCUGACGGAGCAACGCCGCGUGAGUGAUGAAGGUCUUCGGAUCGUAAAACUCUGUUAUUAGGGAAGAACAAAUGUGUAAGUAACUAUGCACGUCUUGACGGUACCUAAUCAGAAAGCCACGGCUAACUACGUGCCAGCAGCCGCGGUAAUACGUAGGUGGCAAGCGUUAACCGGAAUUAUUGGGCGUAAAGCGCGCGUAGGCGGUUUUUUAAGUCUGAUGUGAAAGCCCACGGCUCAACCGUGGAGGGUCAUUGGAAACUGGAAAACUUGAGUGCAGAAGAGGAAAGUGGAAUUCCAUGUGUAGCGGUGAAAUGCGCAGAGAUAUGGAGGAACACCAGUGGCGAAGGCGACUUUCUGGUCUGUAACUGACGCUGAUGUGCGAAAGCGUGUGGAUCAAACAGG